GUGUAGUUGUGGCCCGCCAAAUCAGCCUGAGCAAUCAGAUGACCAGGUUCAAGCUGACACACAAUACUCUGCAAUAAGUCAUUUCAGUGAGAACAGGGAGCGUGAGGGACGAUCAGAAGAGAGCCCCAUUGAGUGUGUGUACUCUGAUGUGAAACACUCUGGAACAGAGACCUCAUCAUAAACAUAUGCUAAAAUUGCUGAUACAUUCUGCUUUUUUUUCUCCUGUUUUUGUUGUUUUGUAUUUUAGUUUUAAU